GAAAACAACAUGAACCAAUGAGGAUCCUGAGUACGGCGGAACACGAGAAAUUCCGUCGGAAUCAGCCGGGACCAUCCGGCAAGCCUAAAUACUACCUAGUGACCGAUAGUGAACCAGUACCGUGAGGGAAAGGUGAAAAGAACCCCGGAAGGGGAGUGAAAAGCACUUGAAACCGUAUGCUUACAAGUAGUCAGAGCCCGUUAAUGGGUGAUGGCGUACCUUUUGUAGAAUGGACCGGCGAGUGACGAUUUCAUGCAAGGUUAAUCUGAAGAAGAGGAGCCGCAGCGAAAGCGAGUCUGAAUAGGGCGUGCAGUAUGAGGUCGUCGACCCGAAACCAGGUGACCUACCCAUGUGCAGGGUGAAGGUGCGGUGAAACGCACUGGAGGCCCGAACCCACGUAUGUUGAAAAAUGCGGGGAUGACGUGUGGGUAGCGGUGAAAUUCCAAUCGAACCUGGAGAUAGCUGGUUCUCUCCGAAAUAGCUUUAGGGCUAGCCUCGGAUGAUGCAUCGUGGAGGUAGAGCGACUGUUUGGACGAGGGCCCCUUGCGGGGUACCGAAUCCUGAUAAACUCCGAAUGCCACAGAUGUUAAUCCGGGAGUCACACUGCGAGUGAUAAGAUCCGUAGUGGAAAGGGAAACAACCCAGACCGUCGGCUAAGGUCCCCAAAUCCUUGUUAAGUGGAAAAGGAUGUGGGGCUGCUUAGACAACUAGGAUGUUGGCUUAGAAGCAGCCAUCAUUUAAAGAGUGCGUAAUAGCUCACUAGUCGAGUGGCCCUGCGCCGAAAAUUUACCGGGGCUAAACAAGGUACCGAAGCCACGGAUAGAACCUUUGGUUCUAUGGUAGGAGAGCGUUCUAAUCAGCAUAGAAGCCUGACUGUGAAGACAGGUGGAGCGAUUAGAAGUGAGAAUGCCGGUAUGAGUAGCGAAAGACAGGUGAGAAUCCUGUCCACCGAAUGACUAAGGUUUCCUGGGGAAGGCUCGUCCUCCCAGGGUUAGUCGGGACCUAAGCUGAGGCCGAA
rnacentral:rRNA from 1 species